AUACGUAGGGGGCGAGCGUUGUCCGGAAUGAUUGGGCGUAAAGGGCGCGUAGGCGGCGCGGUAAGUCUGGAGUGAAAGUCCUGCUUUCGAGGUGGGAAUUGCUUUGGAUACUGCCGCGCUUGAGUGCAGGAGAGGUUAUCGGAAUUCCCGGUGUAGCGGUGAAAUGCGUAGAGAUCGGGAGGAACACCAGUGGCGAAGGCGGGUAACUGGACUGCAACUGACGCUGAGGCGCGAAAGUGUGGGGAGCAAACAGGAUUAGAUACCCUGGUAGUCCACACUGUAAACGAUGAAUGCUAGGUGUAGGAGGUAUCGACCCCUUCUGUGCCGCAGUAAACACAGUAAGCAUUCCGCCUGGGGAGUACGGUCGCAAGAUUAAAACUCAAAGGAAUUGACGGGG
rnacentral:rRNA from 1 species